rnacentral:rRNA from 1 species
CUACGGGACGCUCCAGUGGGGAAUUUUGCGCAAUGGGCGAAAGCCUGACGCAGCAAUACCGCGUGAGUGAUGAAGGUUUUCGGAUCGUAAAGCUCUGUCAGAGGGGAAGAACCUCCUAUUGUUUAGCCGCAAUAGGCCUGACGGUACCCUCAAAGGAAGCACCGGCUAACUCCGUGCCAGCAGCCGCGGUAAUACGGAGGGUGCAAGCGUUGUUCGGAAUUAUUGGGCGUAAAGCGCGUGUAGGCGGUUCGUUAAGUCUGGCGUGAAAGCCCUGGGCUCAACCCAGGAAGUGCAUUGGAUACUGGCGAACUUGAGUAUGGGAGAGGAAAGUGGAAUUCCGAGUGUAGGGGUGAAAUCCGUAGAUAUUCGGAGGAACACCAGUGGCGAAGGCGGCUUUCUGGACCAAUACUGACGCUGAGACGCGAAAGCGUGGGGAGCAAACAGGAUUAGAUACCCGAGUAGUC